UUUUGUAUUACUCAGAUCUUGGGCCAGACGUAACCCAGCGGUUGAGUUACUUAUCGCUGGGAUUUUGCUUCUCUUCUGGAGAUAGCAGUUCUAAGCGCCAUCGAAUUGAUACAUUCGUCGGUAAAAUACAGGUUAUAAAGGCAGUCGCAAUAUAUUUCUACUAUGAGUGAAACGCAGGGAGGCGGUUUCAGCCUUGAGCAGUACCCCACCGAACACGACUCUAGCCCCGGCACGAGAACCAGCGCGGCGCAGUGCAGUUAUGGUGGAAACAGAAUAACAGAGACUGGUUAAUAACACAUAAAUUACUUCUGUUUAACGUUUAAUUUUUAAUUUUAAUGUUUGUUAAACAAGGUUGAAUAUGGACAAUAUGUAUAGCCUAUUAAAAACGAUAUAAACAAUGCUGUAAAUGAUAAAUAUAGGAGAAUAAAGGAAGUUAUCAUGCAA